rnacentral:rRNA from 1 species
CCUACGGGAGGCUGCAGUGGGGAAUAUUGGAUAAUGGGGGGAACCCUGAUCCAGCCAUGCCGCGUGUGUGAAGAAGGCCCUCGGGUUGUAAAGCACUUUCAGUGAGGAAGAACGCCUGGUGGUUAAUACCCAUCAGGAAAGACAUCACUCACAGAAGAAGCACCGGCUAACUCCGUGCCAGCAGCCGCGGUAAUACGGAGGGUGCGAGCGUUAAUCGGAAUUACUGGGCGUAAAGCGCGCGUAGGUGGCUUGAUAAGCCGGUUGUGAAAGCCCCGGGCUCAACCUGGGAACGGCAUCCGGAACUGUCAAGCUAGAGUGCAGGAGAGGAAGGUAGAAUUCCCGGUGUAGCGGUGAAAUGCGUAGAGAUCGGGAGGAAUACCAGUGGCGAAGGCGGCCUUCUGGACUGACACUGACACUGAGGUGCGAAAGCGUGGGUAGCAAACAGGAUUAGAUACCCUGGUAGUC